CUGAAGAGUUCUGUCGCCAGGGAAACGUCAUCCAGUUGAUUCCACACCACCACAGCCCUGCUCCCACCACCCUCUGCCUGGUCUGGUCGCUGAUCUGCCCAGACAAUGCAGGGUUUCACUCUGAGAGACAGAACCUGUCUGUUUUUUCCUCGUUUGCCUUCCCUUUUUCCAUCCCCCUGGAGGCUGAGCAGGGAAAGUCACAGCUUUUCUUGCUGACUGACAUCUCCGGAUCAAAAGAAAACAGAAUCUUAGAAUGUCGCUGGCAGAGAGGGCCCGCUCAAGUCUAAUAUGGCCCUGUCACUCUACAGUGGUGACAACUGUGGCUACAGGGUGGCCAUCAUUUUCUUGAUUUCAGCAAUAGCUUUGCCUGGAUUCAGCCCCUUGGGGCAGGACCUUGUGCAGUUCAUGAUGGUGUGGCAGCGGUCCAGAGAGAACGGGCCCUGCAGCUUGGCCAGGCGCUCCUCAGUGAAGUCGUCUUCUAGAGUCGAUCAUCCAGGGGUAGGCCUGCAUGAGAACCGCAGGCCCCAGGUAUUUGUCUCCAUUCCACCAGUAGCUAGGGCAGCUGGUGCUGCAGCAAGCACAGAGGAUACACUCAUACAGCCCGUCAGGAACCAGAUCCUUUAUCACAUACAUAUGUGGCAGAGGGUAGAUUUUGGAGACUUUGCUGAGGUUGGUGUGGAUCCGGCGGGUGCAAGCCAGAGUAUUGCCUCCGUUGAUGUUCAUGGCACAGGAGCCACAGAUGCCUUCUCUGCAUGAUCUUCGGAAGGUCAAGGUCCUGAAGCUAAAAAAGCUGCAGUAGCUCAUGUGCCCAUCCUGGCCAACGGCCUCGGCAGCGGUCAUGUCCAUGCCUGGUGCAGCACAUCAGGCUCCAGCCCUGGCCCCAAGCGCUCCACCUGAAGGCCUCGGACAUCACACCUGCCUGGUCAUGGAUCAUAAAAUGUCCGAGCUGGGAAGGGAUAAAGGAAGUAUCUAGUUCCACCUGCUCUCCUAACAGGUGUGGAAAUACAGAUCAAGAGGGGAAUAAGAACUUGCCUGAUGCCACCCAGAUCGUUUACUUUAUAGACGUGCACCUUGAACUCAGGGAUUUUGGAGCCUGGGUCACAUUAGAAUAGUUUUCUCUACUCUUCAUUUCGUUUUGGAAGCAAAAACUAGCCUUACUCUAGAUAAUUUGGGUCUGCCACAGUACAUGUGACUUUCUCAAGGGAUAAUUUGGUUGGGUACUACAAGAGACCCAAAUAACAUUUGAGGUCUUUGGGGGCUUGGUUAUGCUGGGAGUGGGUAACCCCAACAUGUCAGCAAUUCCAGCCAAGGUCCCUUCAGCCAAAAUAACUGCAUGUCUUUAUUAUUAUUAUUAUUGAUUUAUUCAUGAGCAGCUCAAAGAGAGCCUGAUGCAAGACUCGAUCCCAGGAUUCUAGGAUCAUGACCUGAGCCAAAGGCAGAUGCUCAACCACUGAGCCACCAGGAGCCCCAUAACUGCAUGCUCUUAAGAUGUCAGAUCCCUACAGAAAAUUACUGUUGUUUUUAACUUGGAGACACUCCAUCUAGCUUUAUGCAAGAAAUAUGCUUCUAAAAACUCAUCUAUCUAAUGAAAAUUGAUGCAUAAAUGCUCUGAGUCCAAAUAUCCUUUUAAAAUAUUCACACUAGAGGUAGCCAUAGUUGCAGCUAUGGUGGAAGAAGCAUCCACACUUAACACAAACCGGUUUGGGUUUUUUUUUUUAUGAAAUUACAUUUUUUCAUUGACUUUCCAUUAUAAUUCCCACGAAGCAUUAAUG
ensembl:lncRNA